ACAAAUAACGACUGGCUUAAUUACUAAUGAUAACAAGGUUCGAGGGUUUUCAGCACGUAUCGGUUAUUUCCUUCAGGUCUCCUGGCAGCCUGCCUGGGAGAUGGGACCAGCAUUUCUCCUGGAUAAGUGGACUACGAGGCAGAGAGGUGGGGGAACCUGUGUAGGUUUAGCCAGCUGAACUCAGAUCCAAACCCGGGCCUGAGUGUCACCACCUCCAGGCAGAUUGCCCUUGUCCCUGCCCCGUUGGCUCCCUCCAGGAUGGUGUGGGCCAGUGAGGAAGCUGGCGGUCACUCAGCGUGUCACUUUCUCCUGCUGGUAGAGAGGGGACCACACUCUUGGCACCUGUGGGAGGAGAGACUUGCCCCAGUUCUCUGAAUUCCUCACUCUGGCCCUGGACAGGCCCUUUGGGCCCAGGAGACAUUCUGCCUGCGAACUGGGAAGUGGGAUGGGGUAGGGCAGGGGCAUGGGCCUUGGAAUGCGGUGGUGCUGGGGUUUCAAACCCAGGCACUAACAUGCUGUGACUUCAGACAGAUCAUCUAUAUGCCUGGACUUCAUUUCCUCCAACUAAACCCCUCAAGACCAGCCAGGAAGAGGCCGUGCAGAGUGGGGGAGGCCUUACGGCCAAUGGCAGAUGCAGAAACUGAGGCCGAUGGGAAGAAUCAGCUUGAGGGAGGUCAGGAUGAUGGUGUCCCUGAGAGCGAAGGUCUCCUCUCUCCCUGGCAAGAGAACUUCCACUCUCCAGCCCUGCCUCGUGGCUGUAAGCCCAGGGCCACACAACUGGGAGCUGGCCCUCUCUGCUGGCUGCUGUGGCCCACUGGGCACAGUUCAGUGCUGGCUGUGACUUAGAAAAUGUGCCUGUGGCCCCCCGUGGGUGCUGGAAAUGGAAGUGGCAUGUUUUGGCGUGUCUUGGCCUCCGGGCUGAAAACUGUUUAUUUGGACUAUUAAGAAUACAACUUCAGCUGAACCACAAAAUCAGCGGAAACCUUUAUCUUGGGUGGCACGCUCUGGGCUUCCUCCCACUCUCCUGCGGGCUUGCAGAGUGGGGCCACAUUGGACAAGGUGCCUCUGGGAAUGAUUCCAGGGCCUCUUAGUCUCUGCUCCAGAGAGAUUAGUCAAGUGUAUGGGGGGCUACUCUUCUCGGUUGCCUCUGUGCUGAUGAUGGGAAGGGAGGUAUUAGGAGAGGACCCGAACUCUUUAAUCAGAGACUGCAGGGCCUUUGGGGUCUCUUGAGUUGAGGGUGGGGCUUCUUCUGUAAUUGGCCAAGACAUAUCUUCUGGGCCAUCUUCUGCUACCCCAAUGAUCACUGUCUCAAAUUAUCUCCUUGUCCUUCUCCAGCCAAGAAAUGGGUGAGUUCACAACACCCACUGCCCAGUCCAGCACACUGAGGGCUUGGCUCUGACACCACCCGAUUACCCCUUUAGUCCUUACCCCUCUGGGCCUUCCUGGGCCUCCAUAGUGGUAGUAGAUAAAUCAGGUGUGUGCUUAUAACCCUCCUUGAAGUUUAAGCUUCUUGCCACACAAAACCCAAGCCUCGGCUUCCUCAAGUAGCUCCAAGAGGAGCCAGCCCUCUUGGCCUUAGCUGGUCAUGGCUGGUCACUGUGUUGAGAAACGAUCUCAUGAUUGGGUGCUCGGAUGACCAAGAUCACUCUUUCCUCCAGCUGCUCUCCCUCACCCACUCCCUGCAUGGUUGCUGAACAGGCCCUGCUCUCACACCUUCCAGGGCUCUGCCAAGACACCCACUGGGCCCCUGCAAACACUGAUAAGACCCGUUUCUAGAACCUCAGAUUUUAAAAUUCUACAUCUUAUUUUGUUUCUGAACGAUUCCAGUUGGCAAUCUUGUCUCCCUAGCUACACACUAUAGACACUUAUUGGGGUAGGAACUGAGUUUUCUGCCAAUCACAAGCCCCCCACCCCCACCCCUGCCCCCAUGA